rnacentral:rRNA from 1 species
AUGGAUAACUGUAAUAACUCUAGAGCUAAUACAUGCCCCGAAGCCCUGACCCGCGAGGGAAUGGGUGCACUUAUUAGAUCAGAAGCCAACCAGGUGUUCUUCUGCCUUCGGGUGGGAGCGCUGCCUGUCGUCCUUCUGGUGACUCUGGAUAAUUGUUACAGAUCGCAGUCGGCCUUGCGUCGGCGACGGGUCCUUCAAAUGUCUGCCCUAUCAACUUUCGAUGGUAGGUGACCUGCCUACCAUGGUGAUAACGGGUAACGGGGAAUCAGGGUUCGAUUCCGGAGAGGGAGCCUGAGAAACGGCUACCACUUCCAAGGGAGGCAGCAGGCGCGCAAAUUACCCACUCCCAGUACGGGGAGGUGGUGACGAAAAAUACCGAUGCGGGACUCUUAUUGAGGCUCCGUAAUCGGAAUGAGUGAACUCUAAAUCCUUUCACGAGGAUCAAUUGGAGGGCAAGUCUGGUGCCAGCAGCCGCGGUAACUCCAGCUCCAAUAGCGUAUAUUAAAGUUGCUGCAGUUAAAAAGCUCGUAGUUGGAUCUCGGUAUCACUGUCGCCUGCCAGUCCUCGGCUGAUUGUGUCUGUUGGUGUAGGUGGGACCGCUCCGCGCGGCACCCCUCGCCCAGGCAUGGUUGUGCUCGAGUUGGCGUGGUGGUGGUGUCACCUUUCAGCCAUGUCUGUGGUGAAAUACCCGCAGGUGUAGGCGAGUGUCAGGCGGUGCUC